AGUGAACGCUGGCGGUAGGCCUAACACAUGCAAGUCGAACGGCAGCACAGUAAGAGCUUGCUCUUACGGGUGGCGAGUGGCGGACGGGUGAGGAAUACAUCGGAAUCUACUUUUUCGUGGGGGAUAACGUAGGGAAACUUACGCUAAUACCGCAUACGACCUACGGGUGAAAGCAGGGGAUCUUCGGACCUUGCGCGAUUGAAUGAGCAGAUGUCGGAUUAGCUAGUUGGCGGGGUAAAGGCCCACCAAGGCGACGAUCCGUAGCUGGUCUGAGAGGAUGAUCAGCCACACUGGAACUGAGACACGGUCCAGACUCCUACGGGAGGCAGCAGUGGGGAAUAUUGGACAAUGGGCGCAAGCCUGAUCCAGCCAUACCGCGUGGGUGAAGAAGGCCUUCGGGUUGUAAAGCCUUUUUGUUGGGAAAGAAAAGCAGCAGGUUAAUACCCCGCUGUUCUGACGGUACCCAAAGAAUAAGCACCGGCUAACUUCGUG
rnacentral:rRNA from 1 species